GUCCAUGCAGUCGGUGCAUGGUACAAGUGUGCGAGUUGGGAGAGGGUAGAGAUGAAGUUAUUGCUCAAAUUAAUUUAGUAUGAGAUCAUUGCUAUGUUAAUUAAGGGUGCAGUCAUUGCAUAUGCAAAAGGUUCAGUUCACUUUAAAUUACACCUGAUCGAGACGCAAGUUGGGAGUCGUUGGGUGGUAGUCGCUCGAUGCAAACCAGAGUAGAAAUGCCCUAAGCAAAGGGGAUUUUAUCACGCAACUCGGAUGGGGGAUUCAACAUGAUCUGCAAAGGAAUAACUGUUCUAUUGGAAUUAUGGACGAAAGUACUGCUUUUUCUGCAGUGUUUGAGGAUUACGGAACUGUGAUCUUAAAAAUAAUGCUGACUGAGGGAACAUUACUGAACUCUAUUUUCCCUGUGAGGAACAACACCAGAAUGGAUUAACAAAGUUUUUACUGGCCCAAACAACCAAAUUGGAUACAUGCAGAUCUAAAUCUGGUCCGGACCCCCGUCCACUUCCCCCCGUGCCCCGGCGAGUGUCAAAGGCUUGUCGGGUUCCAGAACUUCCAAAAAGAAAAUGAAGGAAUUAUUGGCUUUACUCUUUCUGUGACAUCACAUCUUCAGUGGAACACUCCUUGAUAUUAUUCUCCACUGGAACUUCUGGAGUCCCAGACUUCCCAGAGUUUGUGGUUUCUGCAUCGGUUGAUGGAGUUCAUGUGGGUUACUAUGACAGCAACAUCAAGACGGCUGAACCCAAAGUGGACUGGCUAAAACAGAUCUUAAACGACAACCCACAACAACUGGAGUGGUACCUUAACGAAUGCUAUAACGCCCAGCACUCCUUCAGAGUCACCAUUGACAGCUGG